rnacentral:rRNA from 1 species
UACAGAGGUCUCAAGCGUUGUUCGGAUUCAUUGGGCGUAAAGGGUGCGUAGGUGGCGCCGUAAGUCGGGUGUGAAAAUUUUCGGAGCUUAACUCCGAAACUGCAUUCGAUACUGCGGUGCUUGAGGACUGGAGAGGAGACUGGAAUUCAUGGUGUAGCAGUGAAAUGCGUAGAGAUCAUGAGGAAGACCAGUGGCGAAGGCGGGUCUCUGGACAGUUUCCUGACACUGAGGCACGAAGGCCAGGAG